rnacentral:rRNA from 1 species
AGUUGAUCCUGGCUCAGAGUGAACGCUGGCGGUAGGCCUAACACAUGCAAGUCGAACGGCAGCACGAGAGAGCUUGCUCUCUUGGUGGCGAGUGGCGGACGGGUGAGGAAUACAUCGGAAUCUACCUUGUCGUGGGGGAUAACGUAGGAAACUUACGCUAAUACCGCAUACGACCUACGGGUGAAAGCGGAGGACCUUCGGGCUUCGCGCGACUAGAUGAGCCGAUGUCGGAUUAGCUUGUUGGCGGGGUAAAAGCCCACCAAGGCGACGAUCCGUAGCUGGUCUGAGAGGAUGAUCAGCCACACUGGAACUGAGACACGGUCCAGACUCCUACGGGAGGCAGCAGUGGGGAAUAUUGGACAAUGGGCGCAAGCCUGAUCCAGCCAUACCGCGUGGGUGAAGAAGGCCUUCGGGUUGUAAAGCCCUUUUGUUGGGGAAGAAAAGCAGUCGGCUAAUACCUGGCUGUUCUGACGGUACCAAAGAAUAANNCACCGGCUAACUUCGUGCCAGCAGCCGCGGUAAUACGAAGGGUGCAAGCGUUACUCGGAAUUACUGGGCGUAAAGCGUGCGUAGGUGGUUUGUUAAGUCUGAUGUGAAAGCCCUGAGCUCAACCUGGGAAUUGCAUUGGAUACUGGCAGGCUAGAGUGCGGUAGAGGAUGGCGGAAUUCCCGGUGUAGCAGUGAAAUGCGUA